AUGGCGUGGGGAGGCGACCUUACCUUCAGCUCCCGGGCUGCUUUUCGUGUUCUGUCGCCACACGGCGUGCUCGACCAGGACUCCAUCGACAUCUGGGGCUCCAGGCUCCCUAGCAAAAUCAAGUUUUUCGUGAGGCUACUGGUCGGCAAUCGGCUUAGCACUCGGGCUAACCUGUACGCCAAAAACUGCGCCUCUUCUCCAACAUGUGCCUCCUGCCAGGCGGAGGAAACGACGGACCACCUCUUUGCUGCAUGUCCUCGUGUGGCUCCGGUCUGGGCUACGGCUUGGCCUGGGCACCUUCAACUCCAUUGGUGA
rnacentral:rRNA from 1 species